rnacentral:misc_RNA from 1 species
GAUGAAGAACGCAGCGAAAUGCGAUAAGUAAUGUGAAUUGCAGAAUUCCGUGAAUCAUCGAGUCUUUGAACGCACAUUGCGCCCCCUGGUAUUCCGGGGGGCAUGCCUGUCCGAGCGUCAUUGCUGCCCAUCAAGCACGGCUUGUGUGUUGGGUCCUCGUCCCCCCCGGGGGUCGUGCCCGAAAGGCAGCGGCGGCACCGCGUCCGGUCCUCGAGCGUAUGGGGCUUUGUCACCCGCUCUGCAGGCCCGGCCGGCGCUGGCCGACGCGAAAGCAACCAUUUUUUCUCCAGGUUGACCUCGGAUCAGGUAGGGAUACCCGCUGAACUUAAGCAUAUCAAAGCGGAGGA